UGCCAAGUGCUCUGAGCAGCAGCAGCUGCUCAUGCCUGAGUUGAAGGCCAGAUUCUUGAUUCGCUGAUUCUUUGAACCGCUAGGUGCCUCCCAGGCAGAGUGGAGCUUCGUCUUCCUCGUCUGCCUCCAUACUCCAGCACACGCUUCACCUGACAGACCUUCGAUCUUCAGAAGAGGAACAAGGCCGAUGGAGCCGCCUUGUUCCUCAUCUCAGUUCCCCGCACGGGUGGUUCGCUCCGCUCGUCGUCGCCCCUCGACAACCUCCGCGGGCUCCGCCCAGCAACAACCGGUCGCGCAUUCCAUCACCACCAGUGCGUGUGUGAUGUCUACCGCCUAAUUCUUUCUUGAUGGAGGAUUGCUGAUCUUCAGAGAUGCAAUAUAACAUUCAUGGGGAGCAGUCGACUUUGCAUUUAUAUUUGACAUCAAGUUUCAUGGGUCCAAAUACGCCUUCGGCACCUGGAAGCUGGAAGGCAUGAGCUACGAAGAACAUAUUAAAGGUUUGUAUGGCCUCUGGCAGAUACGGUCCAAAAUGACAACGAAAGCCAUG